rnacentral:rRNA from 1 species
AGUGAACGCUGGCGGUAGGCCUAACACAUGCAAGUCGAACGGCAGCACAGUAAGAGCUUGCUCUUACGGGUGGCGAGUGGCGGACGGGUGAGGAAUACAUCGGAAUCUACUUUUUCGUGGGGGUUAACGUAGGGAAACUUACGCUAAUAUCGCAUACCACCUACGGUUGAAAGCAGGGGAUCUUCGGACCUUGCGCGAUUGAAUGCGCCGUUGUCGGAUUAGCUAGUUGGCGGGGUAAAGGCCCACCAAGGCGACGAUCCGUAGCUGGUCUGAGAGGAUGAUCAGCCGCACUGGAACUGAGACACGGUACAGACUCCUACGGGAGGCAGCAGUGGGGAAUAUUGGACAAUGAGCGCAAGACUGAGCCAGCCAUACGGCGUGGGUGAAGAAGGACUUCGGGUUGUAAAGCACUUUUGUUGGGAAAGAAAAGCAGCAGGUUAAUAACCCGCUGUGCUGAAGGUACACAAAGAAUAAGCACCGGCUAAAUUAGUG